CCGAAUGGGGAAACCCAGUGUGAUUCGUCACACUAUCAUUAACUGAAUCCAUAGGUUAAUGAGGCGAACCGGGGGAACUGAAACAUCUAAGUACCCCGAGGAAAAGAAAUCAACCGAGAUUCCCCCAGUAGCGGCGAGCGAACGGGGAGGAGCCCAGAGCCUGAAUCAGCAUGUGUGUUAGUGGAAGCGUCUGGAAAGGCGCGCGAUACAGGGUGACAGCCCCGUACACAAAAGCGCAUGUGCUGUGAGCUCGAUGAGUAGGGCGGGACACGUGGUAUCCUGUCUGAAUAUGGGGGGACCAUCCUCCAAGGCUAAAUACUCCUGACUGACCGAUAGUGAACCAGUACCGUGAGGGAAAGGCGAAAAGAACCCCGGCGAGGGGAGUGAAAAAGAACCUGAAACCGUGUACGUACAAGCAGUGGGAGCNNNNNNNNNNNNNNNNNNNNNNNNNNNNNNNNNNNNNGGGCGUUAAGUUGCAGGGUAUAGACCCGAAACCCGGUGAUCUAGCCAUGGGCAGGUUGAAGGUUGGGUAACACUAACUGGAGGACCGAACCGACUAAUGUUGAAAAAUUAGCGGAUGACCUGUGGCUGGGGGUGAAAGGCCAAUCAAACCGGGAGAUAGCUGGUUCUCCCCGAAAGCUAUUUAGGUAGCGCCUCGUGAAUUCAUCUCCGGGGGUAGAGCACUGUUUCGGCUAGGGGGCCAUCCCGGCUUACCAACCCGAUGCAAACUGCGAAUACCGGAGAAUGUUAUCACGGGAGACACACGGCGGGUGCUAACGUCCGUCGUGAAGAGGGAAACAACCCAGACCGCCAGCUAAGGUCCCAAAGUCAUGGUUAAGUGGGAAACGAUGUGGGAAGGCCCAGACAGCCAGGAUGUUGGCUUAGAAGCAGCCAUCAUUUAAAGAAAGCGUAAUAGCUCACUGGUCGAGUCGGCCUGCGCGGAAGAUGUAACGGGGCUAAACCAUGCACCGAAGCUGCGGCAGCGAACGUAUCACCCAAGACAACUUUACGGAGUUGACGAUUGACGGAGCGAAGCGACGUCAAAGCGUUCAUUAAAGUCGAGUUGGCUUAGGGAUACGUUCGUUGGGUAGGGGAGCGUUCUGUAAGCCUGUGAAGGUGUGUCGUGAGGCAUGCUGGAGGUAUCAGAAGUGCGAAUGCUGACAUAAGUAACGAUAAAGCGGGUGAAAAGCCCGCUCGCCGGAAGACCAAGGGUUCCUGUCCAACGUUAAUCGGGGCAGGGUGAGUCGACCCCUAAGGCGAGGCCGAAAGGCGUAGUCGAUGGGAAACGGGUUAAUAUUCCCGUACUUGGUGUUACUGCGAAGGGGGGACGGAGAAGGCUAUGUUGGCCGGGCGACGGUUGUCCCGGUUUAAGCGUGUAGGUGUGUGUUCCAGGUAAAUCCGGUUCACUUUAACACUGAGGCGUGACGACGAGGCACUACGGUGCUGAAGCAACAAAUGCCCUGCUUCCAGGAAAAGCCUCUAAGCAUCAGGUAACACGAAAUCGUACCCCAAACCGACACAGGUGGUCAGGUAGAGAAUACCAAGGCGCUUGAGAGAACUCGGGUGAAGGAACUAGGCAAAAUGGUGCCGUAACUUCGGGAGAAGGCACGCUGACACGUAGGUGAAGUGAUUUACUCAUGGAGCUGAAGUCAGUCGAAGAUACCAGCUGGCUGCAACUGUUUAUUAAAAACACAGCACUGUGCAAACACGAAAGUGGACGUAUACGGUGUGACGCCUGCCCGGUGCCGGAAGGUUAAUUGAUGGGGUCAGCGCAAGCGAAGCUCCUGAUCGAAGCCCCGGUAAACGGCGGCCGUAACUAUAACGGUCCUAAGGUAGCGAAAUUCCUUGUCGGGUAAGUUCCGACCUGCACGAAUGGCGUAAUGAUGGCCAGGCUGUCUCCACCCGAGACUCAGUGAAAUUGAACUCGCUGUGAAGAUGCAGUGUACCCGCGGCAAGACGGAAAGACCCCGUGAACCUUUACUAUAGCUUGACACUGAACAUUGAGCCUUGAUGUGUAGGAUAGGUGGGAGGCUUUGAAGUGUGGACGCCAGUCUGCAUGGAGCCGACCUUGAAAUACCACCCUUUAAUGUUUGAUGUUCUAACGUGGACCCGUAAUCCGGGUUGCGGACAGUGUCUGGUGGGUAGUUUGACUGGGGCGGUCUCCUCCUAAAGAGUAACGGAGGAGCACGAAGGUUGGCUAAUCCUGGUCGGACAUCAGGAGGUUAGUGCAAUGGCAUAAGCCAGCUUGACUGCGAGCGUGACGGCGCGAGCAGGUGCGAAAGCAGGUCAUAGUGAUCCGGUGGUUCUGAAUGGAAGGGCCAUCGCUCAACGGAUAAAAGGUACUCCGGGGAUAACAGGCUGAUACCGCCCAAGAGUUCAUAUCGACGGCGGUGUUUGGCACCUCGAUGUCGGCUCAUCACAUCCUGGGGCUGAAGUAGGUCCCAAGGGUAUGGCUGUUCGCCAUUUAAAGUGGUACGCGAGCUGGGUUUAGAACGUCGUGAGACAGUUCGGUCCCUAUCUGCCGUGGGCGCUGGAGAACUGAGGGGGGCUGCUCCUAGUACGAGAGGACCGGAGUGGACGCAUCACUGGUGUUCGGGUUGUCAUGCCAAUGGCACUGCCCGGUAGCUAAAUGCGGAAGAGAUAAGUGCUGAAAGCAUCUAAGCACGAAACUUGCCCCGAGAUGAGUUCUCCCUGAGACUUAGAGUCUCCU
rnacentral:rRNA from 1 species